rnacentral:rRNA from 1 species
UACGGGGGGGGGCAAGCGUUGUUCGGAAUUACUGGGCGUAAAGGGCUCGUAGGCGGCCAACUAAGUCAGACGUGAAAUCCCUCGGCUUAACCGGGGAACUGCGUCUGAUACUGGAUGGCUUGAGAUUGGGAGAGGGAUGCGGAAUUCCAGGUGUAGCGGUGAAAUGCGUAGAUAUCUGGAGGAAUACCGGUGGCGAAGGCGGCAUCCUGGACCGACAUUGACGCUGAACGGCGAAAGCUAGGGGAGCAAACGGG